GAGAGCCCGGUGCGGUGAGAAUCGCACGCCGGGUUCGGCGGGCGGCCCGGGGAAACGGACCCCGAGCAAUCCGGGCACCGCGCCCCGGGCCGACCCAAC
rnacentral:ncRNA from 1 species